rnacentral:snRNA from 1 species
CUUAAAUUGCUAGCAUAUC